rnacentral:rRNA from 1 species
UGAACGCUGGCGGCAGGCCUAACACAUGCAAGUCGAACGGCAGCACAGGAGAGCUUGCUCUCUGGGUGGCGAGUGGCGGACGGGUGAGGAAUAUAUCGGAAUCUACCCUUUCGUGGGGGAUAACGUAGGGAAACUUACGCUAAUACCGCAUACGAACUGAGGUUGAAAGCGGCGGACCGCAAGGCGUCGCGCGGAUGGAUGAGCCGAUAUCCGAUUAGCUAGUUGGCGGGGUAAAGGCCCACCAAGGCGACGAUCGGUAGCUGGUCUGAGAGGACGACCAGCCACACUGGGACUGAGACACGGCCCAGACUCCUACGGGAGGCAGCAGUGGGGAAUUUUGGACAAUGGACGCAAGUCUGAUCCAGCCAUGCCGCGUGCGGGAAGAAGGCCUCGGUUGUAACCGCUUUGUCAGGAGAAAUCUCUAGGCUAAUACCUUGGGAGGAGUGACGGUACCGUGAAGAAUAAGCACCGGCUAACUACGCGCCAGCAG